ACACCUCAACUCUCAUGGUCCGCCAUGAUGAGCUUGGACUUUGGGGGUCUUGUCGGCUUAACCGUUGGCUCCUCUCAAACGAAUCAGCUUGCCAGUGUUUGGUGGCAUCACAGGUGUGAUAACUAUCUACGCUUGUGCCCCCCCACCAGGUAACCUUCAGCGAUGAAGGUUCGCUGGAGCUCACAGACGUCUCUCCCCAAGGAGGACAGCUUUUGAAC
rnacentral:misc_RNA from 1 species